rnacentral:rRNA from 1 species
AUGAACGCUGGCGGCGUGCCUAAUACAUGCAAGUCGCGCGAACAGACGAGGAGCUUGCUCCUCUGACGUUAGCGGCGGACGGGUGAGUAACACGUGGAUAACCUACCUAUAAGACUGGGAUAACUUCGGGAAACCGGAGCUAAUACCGGAUAAUAUAUUGAACCGCAUGGUUCAAUAGUGAAAGACGGUUUUGCUGUCACUUAUAGAUGGAUCCGCGCCGCAUUAGCUAGUUGGUAAGGUAACGGCUUACCAAGGCAACGAUGCGUAGCCGACCUGAGAGGGUGAUCGGCCACACUGGAACUGAGACACGGUCCAGACUCCUACGGGAGGCAGCAGUAGGGAAUCUUCCGCAAUGGGCGAAAGCCUGACGGAGCAACGCCGCGUGAGUGACGAAGGUCUUCGGAUCGUAAAACUCUGUUAUUAGGGAAGAACAAAUGUGUAAGUAACUAUGCACGUCUUGACGGUACCUAAUCAGAAAGCCACGGCUAACUACGUG